GACGAACGCUGGAGGCGUGCUUAACACAUGCAAGUCGAACGAUGAAAUGGAGCUUGCUCCAUGGAUUAGUGGCGAACGGGUGAGUAACACGUGAAUAACCUGCCCUUAAUUUUGGAAUAACCCAGGGAAACCUGGGCUAAUACCGGAUAAGUAAACCUGUGGCAUCACAUGGUUUUGGAAAGUUUUUCGAUUAAGGAUGGAUUCGCGGCCUAUCAGCUUGUUGGUGAGGGAAUGGCUCACCAAGGCGACGACGGGUAGCCGGCCUGAGAGGGUGAACGGCCACACUGGGACUGAGACACGGCCCAGACUCCUACGGGAGGCAGCAGUGGGGAAUAUUGCGCAAUGGACGAAAGUCUGACGCAGCGACGCCUCGUGAGGGACGAAGGUCUUCGGAUUGUAAACCUCUUUCAGCAGGGACGAAGCGAAAGUGACGGUACCUACAGAAGAAGCACCGGCUAACUAUGUGCCAGCCGCCGCAGUAA
rnacentral:rRNA from 1 species